UACGGUAGGGGCAAGCGUUGUCCGGAUUUAUUGGGCGUAAAGAGCGUGUAGGCGGCCAGGUAGGUCUGCUGUGAAAACUCGGGGCCUUAACUCCGGGCCUGCAGUGGGUACGGGCAGACUAGAGUGCGGUAGGGGAGACUGGAAUUCCUGGUGUAGCGGUGGAAUGCGCAGAUAUCAGGAGGAACACCGAUGGCGAAGGCAGAUCUCUGGGCCGUAACUGACGCUGAGGAGCGAAAGCGUGGGGAGCGAACAGG
rnacentral:rRNA from 1 species